UGCCAGUCGCCGCGGUAAUUCGGGGGGAGCAAGCGUUGUCCGGAAUCAUUGGGCGUAAAGGGUGCGUAGGCGGGCUAUUAAGUCUGAUGUGAAAGCCCACGGCUUAACCGUGGAGAGUCAUUGGAUACUGAUAGUCUUGAAUCACAGAGGGGUCAGUGGAAUUCCAGGUGUAGCGGUGAAAUGCGUAGAUAUCUGGGGGAACAUCUGUGGCGAAGGCGACUGGCUGGCUGUUGAUUGACGCUGAGGCACGAAAGCGUGGGUAGCAAACAGGAUUAGAUA
rnacentral:rRNA from 1 species